UACAUAGGUCUCAAGCGUUGUUCGGAUUCAUUGGGCGUAAAGGGCGCGUAGGCGGCGGGGUAAGUCGGGUGUGAAAUCUCAGAGCUCAACUCUGAAAUGGCACUUGAUACUGCUCUGCUAGAGGACGGGAGAGGAGAUUGGAAUUCACGGUGUAGCAGUGAAAUGCGUAGAUAUCGGGAGGAAGACCGGUGGCGAAGGCGGAUCUCUGGACAGGUCCUGACGCUGAGGCGCGAAGGCCAGGGGAGCAAACGGG
rnacentral:rRNA from 1 species